rnacentral:rRNA from 1 species
UACGAAGGGGGCUAGCGUUGCUCGGAAUGACUGGGCGUAAAGGGCGCGUAGGCGGAUUGUACAGUCAGGCGUGAAAGCCCUGGGCUCAACCUGGGAAGUGCAUUCGAAACUUCUGAGCUGGAGUUCUGGAGAGGAAGGCGGAAUUCUCGGUGUAGAGGUGAAAUUCGUAGAUAUCGAGAGGAACACCGGUGGCGAAGGCGGCCUUCUGGACAGUGACUGACGCUGAGACGCGAAAGCGUGGGGAGCAAACAGG